GACGAACGCUGGCGGCGCGCCUAACACAUGCAAGUCGAACGAGCGAGAGAGAGCUUGCUUUCUCGAGCGAGUGGCGAACGGGUGAGUAACGCGUGAGGAACCUGCCUCAAAGAGGGGGACAACAGUUGGAAACGACUGCUAAUACCGCAUAAGCCCACGACCCGGCAUCGGGUAGAGGGAAAAGGAGCAAUCCGCUUUGAGAUGGCCUCGCGUCCGAUUAGCUAGUUGGUGAGGUAAAGGCCCACCAAGGCGACGAUCGGUAGCCGGACUGAGAGGUUGAACGGCCACAUUGGGACUGAGACACGGCCCAGACUCCUACGGGAGGCAGCAGUGGGGAAUAUUGCACAAUGGGGGAAACCCUGAUGCAGCGACGCCGCGUGAGUGAUGAAGUAUUUCGGUAUGUAAAAACUCUAAUCAGCAGGGAAGAUAAUGACGGUACCUGACUAAGAAGCACCGGCUAAAUACGUG
rnacentral:rRNA from 1 species